AUUCACGUCCUUUUUCGACCUUUUGCUUUCUCAGUAUUCUUCCCUCCCAUUUCUUCUUCUUUCCCUCGCAGGGAUCUCUGACCUAAUUGUCUCUUCAUUAUCCAUUCUCACUCCUCCUCAUCAAAAUAUACCUCCAAAUUCAUUCAAGAUCCGUAUAUUAGAUCUGAAUCACUGAUUCAAGUUUGGACCAAAGACUGAAUAUGAGCAAUCCAGCAGGACAAUUCGGAGACACGACUUACACCAAAGUUUUUGUUGGUGGAUUGGCAUGGGAGACUCAAAAGGACACCAUGAAGAAAUACUUUGAACAGUUCGGCGAGAUCUUGGAAGCUGUCGUCAUCACUGACAAAACUACUGGAAGAUCCAAGGGUUAUGGAUUUGUAUGUAUUUUUUUUCCCAUUCAAUUUACAUCUUCUGUUAAUCGUAAUUUAGAUCUGUGACUUACGAACAUUUGUACGAUUAAAAUUAAAUAGGUAACUUUUCGCGAAGCCGAAGCAGCGAUGAGAGCUUGUGUCGAUGCUAGUCCAGUGAUUGAUGGAAGAAGGGCUAAUUGUAAUCUUGCUUCCUUGGGUGUUCAAAGAUCCAAGCCUUCCACGCCAAAGCACGGUCCGUAUAUGUUAUUUACUUUUUUACUAAGAGCACGUUUAGCUUUAAAAAGUGAAAUAAUUCAUCUUCUACUUUAGAUCAGAGAUUGAUAGUAGGUGAUCUGAUGAACAAGAUCAUUCACAUCUUGAUACAUCGCCAUAUUCUACACACAACACAAUGGAUAUUAUCCCAUUAAUAUAAAUGAGGGGUCAUGCCCUAUUUAUAGACUCUUAUCAUAUCUUCUAGAGAAUUCUACAAGUGUCUACAAUCUAUACAAGAUUUUUUUUGGUGUCCAAGUUACUCUAGUGGAAUAUAGACAAUUCUAAUUUUUUAUUAUACUUGCUUACCAAGGAAUUCUAGGAUAUUCUAGGCAAGUAAUUCUAGAUUCUUCUAGAAAUGAGCAUCAUUAAAUUUAUCAAAAAAAGUAGACUGAAAUUAAAAAAAGAAGAAAACCAAUGUAAAUUGAUUUUACCUAUGCACGCGUCUUCGACAGGGAUUGAACGUCUUCGACGGACCUUAACGUCGUCGAAAUGUGAAUAGUUGUCAUAGACGGUUUUCACGAGCUCCGAGCUGUAUUUGUUUUGUAAAAGUUGGACUCUGCUUACGGUAAUCAGGGGGUGGGAAAAUGGAAAAAAGAGUGGUCCACACUUACUGACUUCCCUCCAAAAUUAAGUGGGCUGACAAUCGUCAAGUGGAAAAUUUAAAAUCCCUGUUUUUUAGUCUGAAUUUAAGCCUGUCUAAAGAGCUAAAUUCUAAAAAAAAUAACAUUUAUCGACCUGUUUUGUUUUUAUUCAAGAUUGUUCUCGUAACUUAAAUUAAAGAGGAGGGAAUGAUAAGAGAAGCGCGUGAAUACAUUUGAUAAACAAGUGGGGGACUAGAAUAGGACGUAUAUAAUUCACGUCCUUUUUCGACCUUUUGCUUUCUCAGUAUUCUUCCCUCCCAUUUCUUCUUCUUUCCCUCGCAGGGAUCUCUGACCUAAUUGUCUCUUCAUUAUCCAUUCUCACUCCUCCUCAUCAAAAUAUACCUCCAAAUUCAUUCAAGAUCCGUAUAUUAGAUCUGAAUCACUGAUUCAAGUUUGGACCAAAGACUGAAUAUGAGCAAUCCAGCAGGACAAUUCGGAGACACGACUUACACCAAAGUUUUUGUUGGUGGAUUGGCAUGGGAGACUCAAAAGGACACCAUGAAGAAAUACUUUGAACAGUUCGGCGAGAUCUUGGAAGCUG
rnacentral:lncRNA from 1 species